rnacentral:rRNA from 1 species
UACGGAGGGUGCAAGCGUUAUCCGGAUUCACUGGGUUUAAAGGGUGCGUAGGAGGGCAGGUAAGUCAGUGGUGAAAUCUUCGAGCUUAACUCGGAACUGCCGUUGAUACUAUCUGUCUUGAAUACCGUGGAGGUGAGCGGAAUAUGUCAUGUAGCGGUGAAAUGCUUAGAUAUGACAUAGAACACCAAUGCGAAGGCAGCUCGCUACACGAAUAUUGACUCUGAGGCACGAAAGCGUGGGGAUCAAACAGG